UACGGGGGGGGCAAGCGUUGUUCGGAAUUACUGGGCGUAAAGGGCUCGUAGGCGGCCAACUAAGUCAGACGUGAAAUCCCUCGGCUUAACCGGGGAACUGCGUCUGAUACUGGAUGGCUUGAGUUCGGGAGAGGGAUGCGGAAUUCCAGGUGUAGCGGUGAAAUGCGUAGAUAUCUGGAGGAACACCGGUGGCGAAGGCGGCAUCCUGGACCAAUUCUGACGCUGAGGAGCGAAAGCCAGGGGAGCAAACGGG
rnacentral:rRNA from 1 species